rnacentral:rRNA from 1 species
UGGGGAAUAUUGCACAAUGGGCGCAAGCCUGAUGCAGCCAUGCCGCGUGUGUGAAGAAGGCCUCCGGGUUGUAAAGCACUUUCAGCGAGGAGGAAGGUGGUGAGCUUAAUACGCUCAUCAAUUGACGUUACUCGCAGAAGAAGCACCGGCUAACUCCGUGCCAGCAGCCGCGGUAAUACGGAGGGUGCAAGCGUUAAUCGGAAUUACUGGGCGUAAAGCGCACGCAGGCGGUUUGUUAAGUCAGAUGUGAAAUCCCCGGGCUCAACCUGGGAACUGCAUUUGAAACUGGCAAGCUAGAGUCUCGUAGAGGGGGGUAGAAUUCCAGGUGUAGCGGUGAAAUGCGUAGAGAUCUGGAGGAAUACCGGUGGCGAAGGCGGCCCCCUGGACGAAGACUGACGCUCAGGUGCGAAAGCGUGGGGCAGCAAACAGGAUUAGAUACCCUGGUAGUCCACGCUGUAAACGAUGUCGAUUUUGGAGGUUGUGCCCUUGAGGCGUGGCUUCCGGAGCUAACGCGUUAAAUCGACCGCCUGGGGAGUACGGCC